GACAGAGGGUGCAAACGUUGUUCGGAAUUACUGGGCGUAAAGCGCGUGUAGGCGGUCGGGCAAGUCGGAUGUGAAAGCCCCGGGCUCAACCUGGGAAUGGCAUUUGGGACUGGAAGGCUCGAGAUCGGGAGAGGAGGGUGGAAUUCCCAGUGUAGAGGUGAAAUUCGUAGAUAUUGGGAAGAACACCGGUGGCGAAGGCGGCUCUCUGGACCGAUACUGACGCUGAGGCGCGAAAGCGUGGGGAGCAAACAGG
rnacentral:rRNA from 1 species